rnacentral:rRNA from 1 species
GCUAAAAACCCAGACUUCGGGAUGGGUGUAUUUAUUAGAUAAAAAACCAACGCCCUUCGGGGCUCCUUGGUGAUUCAUAAUAACUUCACGAAUCGCAUGGCCUUGCGCCGGCGAUGGUUCAUUCAAAUUUCUGCCCUAUCAACUUUCGAUGGUAGGAUAGUGGCCUACCAUGGUGGCGACGGGUAACGGGGAAUUAGGGUUCUAUUCCGGAGAGGGAGCCUGAGAAACGGCUACCACAUCCAAGGAAGGCAGCAGGCGCGCAAAUUACCCAAUCCCAAUACGGGGAGGUAGUGACAAUAAAUACUGAUACAGGGCUCUUUUGGGUCUUGUAAUUGGAAUGAGAACAAUGUAAAUACCUUAUCGAGGAACAAUUGGAGGGCAAGUCUGGUGGACACACGUCCCAGCACUCGUUGCUGACGCCAGGGAGAUGCGGGCCGCCCUCGGGCGGUCCGUCUAGUGGGCCUCUGGGCCCGCGAGGUGUCCGGCACGGGGAAGGCAUGCGCGCAUGCCAACCCCGUGGCAGGUCCCUUCGGGGGCUUGUCGUAACGCACGGAAGGGCACCGGUGGCCUCCCCCUCGGGGGCAGGCCGCUGAAGGGUCGCGCUAAUCCCGCCCGCCAGGGCAGACGGGCCUGGAGCUCCCAGGCCCGCCGCAGGGUAACCAUUGGCCAGCAGCCGCGGUAAUUCCAGCUCCAAUAGCGUAUAUUAAAGUUGUUGCAGUUAAAAAGCUCGUAGUUGAACCUUGGGCCUGGCUGGCCGGUCCGCCUCACCGCGUGCACUGGUCCGGCCGGGCCUUUCCUUCUGGGAAGCCGCAUGCCCUUCACUGGGUGUGUCGGGGAACCAGGACUUUUACUUUGAAAAAAUUAGAGUGUUCAAAGCAGGCCUAUGCUCGAAUACAUUAGCAUGGAAUAAUAGAAUAGGACGUGCGGUUCUAUUUUGUUGGUUUCUAGGACCGCCGUAAUGAUUAAUAGGGACAGUCGGGGGUGUCAGUAUUCAAUUGUCAGAGGUGAAAUUCUUGGAUUUAUUGAAGACUAACUACUGCGAAAGCAUUCACCAAGGAUGUUUUCAUUAAUCAGUGAACGAAAGUUAGGGGAUCGAAGACGAUCAGAUACCGUCGUAGUCUUAACCAUAAACUAUGCCGACUAGGGAUCGGACGGUGUUGUUAUUUUGACCCGUUCGGCACCUUACGAGAAAUCAAAGUUUCUGGGUUCUGGGGGGAGUAUGGUCGCAAGGCUGAAACUUAAAGAUAUUGACGGAAAGGCACCAAGAUUCCACCCUGUGGUGCCCACCCAGUCCGCCCCUCCGGGGGUCGGACGAGACCCUUCAACUGCGUGGACUGUCCCCCAGGACGUACCCGCAGCCCCUGGAGCUCCAGGGGUCCACAGAUCAAGUGGGGGUCAGCGGCCCGGCGUGCGGGCCGCUCGAGAUAUGAUCGGACUCCGGGUUGAGACCCGGAGAGCAUUGCAAGGCGUGGAGCCUGCGGCUUAAUUUGACUCAACACGGGGAAACUCACCAGGUUAACCCUCAGAACUGGUUACAGUCUGGGCCUGGAAGAGCAGGAUUUUGCUAGUGCCGCCUCGGGGCGGUGCGACGUCAGCUGGUACAGGGAACGCCUCCUCGGGGGCCGACCCUGUGGCGAGCCUGGGCAUCCCCCAGGCCGUCGCAACGCGCAUCAGGCGACGGGUCACCCCUCUCGGGGGUCGACUUUGGUAAGUGCUAACCUCGCGGGAUAACCGCGUCGCGACCCGACGGCCCCCGCGCCGGACGGUCGAGAGCCCGGCAGGGCAGUAUCAGUGCCAGACAUGAUGAGGAUUGACAGAUUGAGAGCUCUU